rnacentral:pre_miRNA from 1 species
CAAAGUGCUCAUAGUGCAGGUAGUAGCAAUGAAAUCUACUGUAAUGUGAGCACUUACAGU